AUGCACUGGCCUCAGGUCACCGCGACGUUCUCAGGGUCCAGAGGAAGGACGGAGCACAGGUGGAUUCCUGCCUGUGGCCUGGGAUUGUGGCGGGUGCUGGUUCUGCCACCUCCGAGCGCACAAAGGCCGCCUUCAAGGGUCCCGGCCCACGCGUCUGUGCGAGGUCACCUGCUGAGGUACGCACGUGUGAUGGGGGCGCUCCAGCGCUCGGGGCUGCUGACUGUUCUGUCUCCAUCAGGAGCCCCAUCCCAGAGGGCCCUCAGGGGCCUGAAUCAGCCCUGCUGUGUUCACAACGCGGACCCAGAGCCUGGCCCAACGUGUGACAUUGAAUGUGGCCCCCAAGAGGUUCUGAAUGAUUGCAUGAAUACAGGAUUUAGGAAUGAACGUGUAUGUGAAAGCAGAGGCCCGCCAUCUAACUCAGCCUGGGUCGUGGUGUCCUCACGGAGGCCUCAGGACGCCUGGGAAUGUGGCUCUGGUCAGUCUCGCAUGGCUUCUGCAACAAAGCACCGGAAACUGGAGGCUUAUAUCAGGGAUGCACUCUCUCUCAGUUCUGGAACCGGAAGUCUGGGAACCAGGGGUGGCUCCAGGGGAGGGUCCUUCCUGCCCCUCCCAGAUUCUGGGGGCUCCACUUGUUUGUGGGCUCGUGGCCUCGUCCCUCCACCCUCUGCCUCCCCCUUCACGUGGCCUCUCCCUGCCCAAGUGUCUCUCUGUUCUUUUUUUAGGGUCACCCUAAACCCAGGAUGAUCUUUCUUUGAGAUCUUUGAUUGGAUCACAACGGCAAAGAUGCUAUUUUCACAUAAAGUCACAUCCACAGGCUCUGGGGUUAGGAUUUGGACAUACUUUUCGGGGUGCACUCUCGGCCCCUAACCUGGGAGGGGACUGCCGGCCAUGGGAUGUGCACUCCGGGGGUGCACGGUGCCAGGACCCGCCGCGGAGGAGUCCGGGAAGGAGGUGGGUCAGCGUCCUGGGCACGUGGGGCCAGCACGUGGGGCUGACCCUACUUGGCGGAGCGUGUCCUCUCACUGGGGUCUGGUGUCCGGGAAGGUCGGAACCGGGAAGGUCGAGUGGUCUUAAUAAGCGUGAUUUCUCGUUACCUCAUCUACUGCACACGGAUGACCGAUCGGCAAGGAGUUAGAAUAAAAUACACUUAACACUAAUGCUAUUUUAAACU
rnacentral:lncRNA from 1 species